GACGAACGCUGGCGGCGUGCUUAACACAUGCAAGUCGAACGGAAAGGCCUCUUUCGGGGGGUACUCGAGUGGCGAACGGGUGAGUAACACGUGAGUAACCUGCCCUUGACUUUGGGAUAACUUCAGAAAACUGGGGCUAAUACCGGAUAGGAGCUCCUGCUGCAUGGUGGGGGUUGGAGAGUUUCGGCGGUUGGGGAUGGACUCGCGGCGUAUCAGCUUGUUGGUGGGGGAGUGGGUUACCAAGGCGUUGACGGGUAGCCGGCCUGAGAGGGUGACCGGCCACAUUGGGACCGAGAUACGGCCCAGACUCCUACGGGAGGCAGGAGUGGGGAAUAUUGCACAAUGGGUGGAAGCCUGAUGCAGCAACGCCGUGUGCGGGAUGACGGCCUUCGGGUUGGAAACCGCUUUCGCUCAUGACGAAGCUUUGUGUGACGGUAGUGGGUAAAGAAGCACCGGCUAACUACGUG
rnacentral:rRNA from 1 species